CCUACGGGAGGCAGCAGUGGGGGAUAUUGCACAAUGGGGGGAACCCUGAUGCAGCGACGCCGCGUGGGUGAAGAAGCGCCUCGGCGCGUAAAGCCCUGUCAGCAGGGAAGAAAAUGACGGUACCUGAAGAAGAAGCCCCGGCUAACUACGUGCCAGCAGCCGCGGUAAUACGUAGGGGGCAAGCGUUAUCCGGAUUUACUGGGUGGAAAGGGGGCGCAGACGGUGAUGCAAGCCAGGAGUGAAAGCCCGGGGCCCAACCCCGGGACUGCUCUUGGAACUGCGUGGCUGGAGUGCAGGAGGGGCAGGCGGAAUUCCUGGUGUAGCGGUGAAAUGCGUAGAUAUCGGGAGGAACACCGGUGGCGAAGGCGGCCUGCUGGACUGCAACUGACGUUGAGGCCCGAAAGCGUGGGGAGCAAACAGGAUUAGAUACCCCAGUAGUC
rnacentral:rRNA from 1 species